rnacentral:lncRNA from 1 species
GAACAGUGGGUCGACGUGGUUGAGAAAAGAGAGAGACGGAGGCGCAGAGGGUUUCCGGCGGAUGCGGCGAAAAUGCCGGAUGUGAGAGCGGGUUCAUGGUGAAACAGAGGUGGGCUGUAGCGGGCGUUUUGGUUCGCCGGUGAUUUGUGGUGGUGAGAGUUGUUGGGUGAAGAAGAGGAACAGUAGUCCUCUGUGAGAGAAAAAGUGGAUCUCCAGGAAGAAGAGGAACAAUCUCUUUUUAUUAUUUUUCUUUUUAUUAUUUUAUCCUAUAGCUGAGAGAGUGAAGGAGACG